CACGUAGGCACCAAGCGUUGUCCGGAUUUAUUGGGCGUAAAGAGCUCGUAGGCGGUUCAGUAAGUCGGGUGUGAAAACUCUGGGCUCAACCCAGAGCCGCCACUCGAUACUGCUGUGACUUGAGUUCGGUAGGGGAGCGGGGAAUUCCUAGUGUAGCGGUGAAAUGCGCAGAUAUUAGGAGGAACACCGGUGGCGAAGGCGCCGCUCUGGGCCGAUACUGACGCUGAGGAGCGAAAGCGUGGGUAGCAAACAGG
rnacentral:rRNA from 1 species